UUCGGGGGCAGCACAAAGCCAACACACAGAUUUGCACAGAUUCUCUUACACACAUUUCCCAAACUGGAAGGCAUAGCCCACGCAGAGCUUGUGAACCUUGAGAAAAGUGGGUUCUGGUCUUGUUUCGGGGAGCAGAGAAACUAUUCUUUCCUCUUUCACUCAGCGGCACUAACAAAACGCGCGGACUCAAGAGAAAAAUAAAAAGAAAGAAAAAAAAAAAACUCCACGUAGUGGAUCCUUAAUCCACUCACUGUGACAUCUGUCUAGUGUAGUGGUCCACGGGGGGACAAACGUGCUGGAAGCUGGAGACACAAACCCAGAACAGGACCCAAACAAACACUACUGGGGAUAAAAGAGUCAAACACACCGGGUCAAUGUUCUUUCAGGGGUGUCUGAGGAUGAACUAGGGGCUCCUCUGACUUACACUAAGGACAGGGGAGAAGAGGAUCAAAAGAGAAAGUGGUGGUCCCCAAAGAUGAACUCUUUCAGGAAGGCAGCCCCAAGAAAACACUCACUUUCCUGAGACUAAAAGGCCAGAAGAGCGGCUGGUGGGAGGUACAAAGAGCUGGGGACCGAACCCAGGGCCUUGCGGUUGCUAGGCAAGCGCUCUACCACUGAGCUAAACCCUCAAGCCCGACACAUUUAUCUCUUAAGGACCAUGACACGACCCACGGGACACUCUUACCCUGACUGGACUACAAAUUAGCACAGCGUUUUGUGCUCCCUGUUCCAGAGACAGCCGCGUCUUCUCGUGCAGUGCCAGCCUCGUCUCAUAGACAAGAUGGUAAAGGUUGGUGUGAACGGAUUUGGCCGUAUUGGGCACCUGGUUACCAGACCUGCUUUCUGCUCUGCAUCUGGCAAAGUGGACAUUGUUGCCAUCAAUGACCCCUUCAUUGACCUCAAGUACAUGGUCUACAUG
rnacentral:lncRNA from 1 species